AGAUUCAUGGCACAUAACAUCAGCUGUAUCCGUGCUAUUUGGUGAUAGUUCUGCUUCCCUCCUCUCUCUCUCUCUCUCUCUCUCUCUCUCUCUCUCUCUCUCUCUCUCUCUCUCUCUCUCUCUCUCUCUCUCUCUCUCUCUCUCUCUCUCUGUCUCUCUCCCUCUCUCUCUCUCCCUCUCUCUCUCUUUCUCUCUCUCUGUCUCUCUCUGUCUCUCUCUCUGUCUCUCUGUCUCUGUCUCUGUCUCUGUCUCUCUGUCUCUGUCUCUCUGUCUCUGUCUCUCUCUGUCUCUCUCUCUGUCUCUCUCUGUCUCUGUCUCUGUCUCUCUUCUCUCUCUCUGUCUCUCUCUCUCUGUCUCUUCUUUCUCUCUGUCUCUCUCUCUCUCUCACACACACACACACACACACUCAAUUACCUACAUUAGGUCCCUAUUAACUCUAGGAUUGAAUAUAAAACUCCUCUAUUUUGUACUUAAAUUCUUU
rnacentral:lncRNA from 1 species